AUUGAACGCUGGCGGCAGGCCUUACACAUGCAAGUCGAACGAGUGGCGGACGGGUGAGUAAUGUCUGGGAAACUGCCCGAUGGCGGGGGAUAACUACUGGAAACGGUAGCUAAUACCGCAUACCAUCGGAUGUGCCCAGAUGGGAUUAGCUAGUGGGUGGGGUAACGGCUCACCUAGGCGACGAUCCGUAGCUGGUCUGAGAGGAUGACCAGCACACCUGGGACUGAGACACGGCCCAGACUCCUACGGGAGGCAGCAGUGGGGAAUAUUGCACAAUGGGCGCAAGCCUGAUGCAGCCAUGCCGCGUGUAUGAAGAAGGCCUUCGGGUUGUAAAGUACUUUCAGCGAGGAGGCGUUACUCGCAGAAGAAGCACCGGCUAACUCCGUGCCAGCAGCCGCGGUAAUUC
rnacentral:rRNA from 1 species